rnacentral:rRNA from 1 species
GGUGAGUAAUGUCUGGGAAACUGCCUGAUGGAGGGGGAUAACUACUGGAAACGGUAGCUAAUACCGCAUAACGUCGCAAGACCAAAGAGGGGGACCUUCGGGCCUCUUGCCAUCAGAUGUGCCCAGAUGGGAUUAGCUAGUAGGUGGGGUAAUGGCUCACCUAGGCGACGAUCCCUAGCUGGUCUGAGAGGAUGACCAGCCACACUGGAACUGAGACACGGUCCAGACUCCUACGGGAGGCAGCAGUGGGGAAUAUUGCACAAUGGGCGCAAGCCUGAUGCAGCCAUGCCGCGUGUGUGAAGAAGGCCUUCGGGUUGUAAAGCACUUU